ACAUUGUUAAUGUAAAGUUAAUUCAACUUAAGCCGCUUAAAGUUCAUGUGGUAGGAUUUCUGUGUGAGUUUAUUGUGUUUUUGUUGACUUGGUGAGGCGCAAUUACCGCGAGUUACUUGUGGCGAAAUCCUCCGUGCGCGUUUACAUUAAUGUAUAUUUAAAUAUAUAAAUUAACGCUAACUACCAUGUAAGAUUACCAUUAACUCCCGUAUUAUUUUCCAAUAAACCGGGGUUAGAUAUACUAACCCAUCACUGUUACAAAACACAGCGUGGGGACAAGUUAACAGCAGUUUACUUUUGGAUAAAAAAGUAUUAUGUAUAUUCAGCUGUGCCGUUGCCCAGACGGGGUUAAAUAUACAUAAUAGAUGCAGACACACACACACACACUGCUAAACACCAGAACUGUUGAAACCACAUCCAUAACAUUCAUCUACUACUUAGUAAUUAUUUAUCUAAUAUAUCAUUCAGCCUUGGCUGAGCUCCCUUUGUUAGUUAAAAGGGUUUGACCCAUGGGGGAGGGGUAAUGGAAGUGUAAAUAGUUUCAACAAACACACAGCUCCAGACAUACAGGAACAAAGAUCAACAAUAUCUGAUCCAAAGUAAAAUAGCACUACAUAUAUCAUAGCACAAUGUGAAUGUGCAGACAGUUAAAGUCUGCUCUCUAUUAGACCCCACCUGUGAACAUCAUUAACUCACUGAUAUAUAUUUUCUUCUUGACAGAUAAAAUGCAAAAAUCUUUUGGCUAUCCCUCCAUGCAGCCCCUGCUCUUCCUGUAAAGAGACUUGUGCCCCUACCAAAGGAGCUGAUGUUUCUGAUGCCGGAACCAUCCGCCCCGACACCAACAGAGACCAACAUCACUGUUCCAGUGGCUCCUGAGAUUUCUGCAGAGCCCUGUCAACCGACACUGCAUCCACCAGCUGCACCAACACAAAGUCAGCCAUUACCCAGGCCAUCAACGGUCCCCAGCUGUCCUCCUCCUCCUCCUCCUCCUCCUCCUCCUCCUCCUCCUCCUCCUCCUCC